GUGUCAGCCGCCGCGGUAAGACAGAGGCCACAAGCGUUAGGCGGAAUCACUGGGCUUAAAGCGUGUGUAGGCGGAUCGUUAAGUGCCUUGUGAAAUCCCACGGCUCACCCGUGGAACGGCUGGGCAUACUGGCGAUCUUGAGCCAUCUAGGGGCGACUGGAACAAACGGUGGAGCGGUGAAAUGCGUAGAUAUCGUUUGGAACGCCAACGGUGAAAACAGGUCGCUGGGGAUGUGCUGACGCUGAGACACGAAAGCCAGGGGAGCAAACGGGAUUAGAUACCCGCGUAGUCC
rnacentral:rRNA from 1 species